CGCGUAGGUGGCUCAGCAAGUUGGAUGUGAAAGCCCCGGGCUCAACCUGGGAACUGCAUCCAAAACUACUGAGCUAGAGUACGGUAGAGGGUGGUGGAAUUUCCUGUGUAGCGGUGAAAUGCGUAGAUAUAGGAAGGAACACCAGUGGCGAAGGCGACCACCUGGACUGAUACUGACACUGAGGUGCGAAAGCGUGGGGAGCAAACA
rnacentral:rRNA from 1 species